AUUCCUACGGGAGGCAGCAGGGGGGAAUAUUGGACAAUGGGCGCAAGCCUGAUCCAGCCAUGCCGCGUGUGUGAAGAAGGCCUUCGGGUUGUAAAGCACUUUUGUUGGGAAAGAAAAGCGGUCGGUUAAUACCCGGUCGUUCUGACGGUACCCAAAGAAUAAGCACCGGCUAACUUCGUGCCAGCAGCCGCGGUAAUAAU
rnacentral:rRNA from 1 species